AAAUAUAAAGCAGAGGUAAGAAAUAUUAUAAACAAUUGAAAAUUGUUGCAAUAAAUUAAAGAGCUGGUAAAGUUUAUUGGUAAAUUAAUCCGGGAAUUUUAUAUAAUAUAUACUUAAUUAUUUUAACGUAAUACCGACAGACCGCAAAAAUAAAUUACAUUAUUAUUUUCCCCCACCCCAAAUAACCUUUUAAUUUUACAAUAUUAUGCGAAUUUACCAGGUACCGAUAUAAUUAUAAUUUAAGGAAAAUGGGCUUUAUUAUUACGAUUAAAAUAUCGGGGUAAUCUGUUUUUUUGGUAACGUAUUGUGGGUUAAAACAAAUGAACGUUUAAUUGGGUAAUUGGGGUUUUUAAUAAUUGAUAUAAAAUUAUAAUCGGUCUCAAAUAAAUAUUAAAAUUAACUAAAAUUUAAUUAUUAUUAAACAAUUUAAAAAUAAGGCUAUUUAUAUAAUAAUAAAUAUAUUUUUAUAUAAUUUAUUGGUCCAAAUGUAAUUUCCUUUAAUUUUUACAAAUUAUUUGAAAUUAUUAUUUUUGGCGUUUAUCCUAAAUUCGAAAGAUUAUAUUGCAUUAAAUAAUUAAAUAAAUCUUGUCGUUAUAUAAUAACAAACGCUAAAUUAGCGUUAAAAGCACGAUAAAAAUUCCAACACGCGUUUUAGCACAAAUGGCACGGCCUACACUAAUAUAUGGUUCUUUUACCCACUAAAUUUGGUUAUAUAUAUACGUUAAUGUGCGUCAAAUUAUUUUAAAUUAAUUCCUGGAAAUUACGCGAUAUUACGUUAUAUUGUCCUUAUAUAAUCCUAGGUUCUGUUCGUACCUACCUAACCUAUUUAAUUCCGAUCCAAUAUUUUGGUCGUAAUAAUUACCCGCUUAAUGGAAAUACGGAACGGUAUUGCCAAAAAAUUACUAGUCUGGAAUCCGUGCAAAUAAAUUAAAAAUUUCCAAACCUUUUUUGUUAUUUUUUAAAAUUUAAA
rnacentral:sRNA from 1 species